rnacentral:rRNA from 1 species
CACGGUGAAGGAGGAGCUUGCUCCUUUGGAUCAGUGGCGAACGGGUGAGUAACACGUGAGUAACCUGCCCCAGACUCUGGGAUAAGCACUGGAAACGGUGUCUAAUACCGGAUACGAGCUUCAGCCGCAUGGCUAGGAGCUGGAAAGAAUUUCGGUCUGGGAUGGACUCGCGGCCUAUCAGCUAGUUGGUGAGGUAAUGGCUCACCAAGGCGACGACGGGUAGCCGGCCUGAGAGGGUGACCGGCCACACUGGGACUGAGACACGGCCCAGACUCCUACGGGAGGCAGCAGUGGGGAAUAUUGCACAAUGGGCGCAAGCCUGAUGCAGCAACGCCGCGUGAGGGACGACGGCCUUCGGGUUGUAAACCUCUUUUAGUAGGGAAGAAGCGAAAGUGACGGUACCUGCAGAAAAAGCACCGGCUAACUACGUGCCAGCAGCCGCGGUAAUACGUAGGGUGCAAGCGUUAUCCGGAAUUAUUGGGCGUAAAGAGCUCGUAGGCGGUUUGUCGCGUCUGCUGUGAAAACUGGAGGCUCAACCUCCAGCCUGCAGUGGGUACGGGCAGACUAGAGUGCGGUAGGGGAGAUUGGAAUUCCUGGUGUAGCGGUGGAAUGCGCAGAUAUCAGGAGGAACACCGAUGGCGAAGGCAGAUCUCUGGGCCGUAACUGACGCUGAGGAGCGAAAGCAUGGGGAGCGAACAGGAUUAGAUACCCUGGUAGUCCAUGCCGUAAACGUUGGGAACUAGAUGUAGGGACCAUUCCACGGUUUCUGUGUCGCAGCUAACGCAUUAAGUUCCCCGCCUGGGGAGUACGGCCGCAAGGCUAAAACUCAAAGGAAUUGACGGGGGCCCGCACAAGCGGCGGAGCAUGCGGAUUAAUUCGAUGCAACGCGAAGAACCUUACCAAGGCUUGACAUAUACCGGAAAAGUUCAGAAAUGUUCUCCCCGCAAGGUCGGUAUACAGGUGGUGCAUGGUUGUCGUCAGCUCGUGUCGUGAGAUGUUGGGUUAAGUCCCGCAACGAGCGCAACCCUCGUUCUAUGUUGCCAGCACGU